rnacentral:rRNA from 1 species
ACACUUGAUGAGUCCCUUACCAAAUCUAUGUUAUAUGAGAUGCCAUCAUCUCUACGAAGGCUCUUUGCAACAAUAUUGGUAUUCUGUUAGCCAAGUAAUGUGCGUGGACUUUGGGAGAAGCACCUGGAGGCAAUGUCAGAAGACUAUCGCCGCAACAAUCCAUCCAAAGUUGCGGUUGAGAAAAUGGUUCUGAUAGAUAUCAGGAAUAUGCUACCAUCAAUGGGAAAGGACAUAGAGUCAUUCCCUCUUCCUGGUAUCAAUGAAGAAUAUGACACUGCUUCCGGCAUGCCAAGGGAGAUCUUCGAGGAAUCCACCAUUGAGCUCAAUGUUGAGGACACAAAUCUAUCAGACUCACUUAAUUCAUAUCAGAGGAAAGCCUACGAUGAAAUUAUGUAUGUUGUUGACAGUGAUGAGGGUGGCGUAUUCUUU